UGGCUCAGUGGUAGAGCGCUUGCCUUGCAUGCAUGUGGCCCUGGGUUCGAUUCCUCAG
rnacentral:tRNA from 1 species